GGGGUUGAGGAAGGGGGGUGGGGGCGGGUGUUUGUGUUGGAAAAUCAAACUGCGCCACGGGGUGGAGCGGCCCCCCCAACUCCUGCCUGGGAGGGGGGGCCGCUCGACCCCCGAGAGGCCUUGAAGAUCCUGAAUACCUGGGACCCCCAGAACCAGGUAAUGGGAAGCCGCAGGGACUUUUGGAAAGAGGGAGACCAUCUCCUUGCAAGGGGGAGGGGCGGGACGUCAGACUCUCUGGAGAGGUCGGGCAAGGCAUUUGAGUCUUGGGAAAAGCAAUGUCAGAGUCGGGGCGCAGGACAUCUAAGUUCCCCAAAAGGGAACAAGGCAAAGGUAGUGGAAAACCCGUGGUCUUGGCUCUAAAGGUCAAAAGGGCCUAAAAGUAAUCCCAGUCCCGCUUGGGAUGGUGAAUUGACACUAGGGCGGGGCUCAGCGGUCCUGAGGAAGGAGACUAUAGGACAGUUUGCAGAUAGGGCUAUGGCUAGGCGCUGGCUCACUGAGAUCAGAAGCGAUCAGGCAAAGUGAACUUCCAGUUACAGGGCCACUCAAAGGUUCCCUCCAGCUCUUUUCUCCGGGGAGAUGUGUAUGUAUUCUCAACUUUCACCAUCCCUCCAGGAGCGGUAGCUUUUCCAUCUCACAGCACUCCACCGCACCGUCUGCUCUCGGCCUCGCCUGGUUCGUUCCUCUAGUUGCCGGUGCCCUCCUCCUCACUUUUCCGUCUUCAGUUCCCUAGCCUUCACUGGGCUCUGGCCCUUUCUCCAUGCUGAACCUUUCCCACGUAGCCACGAGAUGGCGAAGAUGAGACGCCCACCAGAGCCGAGGGCCAUGCGGGUUGGGGGGGGGGGGCUAUCUAUAGCUGUGACACGCACCUUUGAGAAAGGUGCGCUGAGGUUCACCUUUGAUUCCCUGUCAUCUGUCUGGCACCCGCCCCCGGCCCAGGAAAUUGUAAGCAUAUGGGUAAAGUGCAGAAGCUAGGGACAGGGCGAGAGACUAUGCUUUUUCCGGCCUAGAAUAAACAGUGGUGAAGUGGCA
rnacentral:lncRNA from 1 species